rnacentral:misc_RNA from 1 species
UCCUCGUUUGAGCGAGGCAGUCUGUCCAGAGUGCUCCAAACUCUCGUUUGAGUGGCAACAGGACAUAGGGGUUGCGCUCGUUGCGGGACUUAACCAAACAUCUCACGACACGAGCUGACGACGGCCAUGCAACACCUGUCACCGAAUUCCUAACGGCACAAUUUCCUUUCGGAGAUCUUCUCGGGAUGUCAAACCUGGGUAAGGUUCUUCGCUUACCAACGAAUUAAACAACACGCUCCACCGCUUGUGCGGGUCCCCGUCAAUUCCUUUAUGUUUUAGUCUUGCGACCGUACUCCACAGGCGGGAUGCUUAACGCGUUAGCUUCGCUACAAGCCGGGUCGAUACGGCUUACAGCUAGCAUCCAUAGUUUACGGCGUGGACUAC